GGCUGUAGCUCAGUGGUAGAGCGUGUGCUUAGCAUGCACAAGGUCCUGGGUUCCAUCCCAUGUACCCCCA
rnacentral:tRNA from 1 species